rnacentral:rRNA from 1 species
CCUACGGGAGGCAGCAGUGAGGAAUAUUGGUCAAUGGACGAGAGUCUGAACCAGCCAAGUAGCGUGAAGGAUGACUGCCCUAUGGGUUGUAAACUUCUUUUAUAUGGGAAUAAACUGUUCCACGUGUGGGAUUUUGUAUGUACCAUAUGAAUAAGGAUCGGCUAACUCCGUGCCAGCAGCCGCGGUAAUACGGAGGAUCCGAGCGUUAUCCGGAUUUAUUGGGUUUAAAGGGAGCGUAGGUGGAUUGUUAAGUCAGUUGUGAAAUUUUGCGGCUCAACCGUAGAAUUGCAGUUGAAACUGGCAGUCUUGAGUACAGUAGAGGUGGGCGGAAUUCGUGGUGUAGCGGUGAAAUGCUUAGAUAUCACGAAGAACUCCGAUUGCGAAGGCAGCUCACUGGACUGCAACUGACACUGAGGCUCGAAAGUGUGGGUAUCAAACAGGAUUAGAUACCCUGGUAGUC